CCCGAAACCGACACAGGUGGUCAGGUCGAGUAGACCAAGGCGCUUGAGAGAACUCUGCUGAAGGAACUAGGCAAAAUGGUACCGUAACUUCGGGAGAAGGUACGCUGUUGUUGGUGAUGGAACUCGCUUCCUGAGCUGACGACAGCCGCAGAAACCAGGCCGCUGCAACUGUUUAUUAAAAACAUAGCACUCUGCAAACACGAAAGUGGACGUAUAGGGUGUGAUGCCUGCCCGGUGCUGGAAGGUUAAUUGAUGGGGUUAGCGUAAGCGAAGCUCUUGAUCGAAGCCCCAGUAAACGGCGGCCGUAACUAUAACGGUCCUAAGGUAGCGAAAUUCCUUGUCGGGUAAGUUCCGACCUGCACGAAUGGCAUAAUGAUGGCGGCGCUGUCUCCAGCAGAGGCUCAGUGAAAUCGAAAUCGCUGUGAAGAUGCAGUGUACCCGCGGCUAGACGGAAAGACCCCGUGAACCUUUACUGCAGCUUGACACUGAACUUUGACCUUACUUGUGUAGGAUAGGUGGGAGGCUUUGAAGCUGGAACGCUAGUUCCAGUGGAGCCGUCCUUGAAAUACCACCCUGGUAAUGUUGAGGUUCUAACUCUGUCCCGUGAUCCGGGACGAGGACCGUGUCUGGUGGGUAGUUUGACUGGGGCGGUCUCCUCCUAAAGAGUAACGGAGGAGUACGAAGGUGCGCUCAGCGUGGUCGGAAAUCACGCGUAGAGUAUAAAGGCAAAAGCGCGCUUAACUGCGAGACCCACAAGUCGAGCAGGUACGAAAGUAGGUCUUAGUGAUCCGGUGGUUCUGUAUGGAAGGGCCAUCGCUCAACGGAUAAAAGGUACUCUGGGGAUAACAGGCUGAUACCGCCCAAGAGUUCAUAUCGACGGCGGUGUUUGGCACCUCGAUGUCGGCUCAUCUCAUCCUGGGGCUGAAGCAGGUCCCAAGGGUAUGGCUGUUCGCCAUUUAAAGAGGGACGCGAGCUGGGUUUAGAACGUCGUGAGACAGUUCGGUCCCUAUCUACCGUGGGCGCUGGAAAUUUGAGAGGAUCUGCUCCUAGUACGAGAGGACCAGAGUGGACGAACCUCUGGUGUACCGGUUGUGACGCCAGUCGCAUCGCCGGGUAGCUAUGUUCGGAAGGGAUAACCGCUGAAAGCAUCUAAGCGGGAAGCCUACCUCAAGAUAAGAUUUCCCUAGGACUUUAUGUCCUCUAAAGAGCCGUUCGAGACUAGGACGUUGAUAGGUUGGAUGUGGAAGCAUAGUGAUAUGUGAAGCUGACCAAUACUAAUUGCUCGUGAGGCUUGACUAU
rnacentral:rRNA from 1 species